GAACGCUGGCGGCAGGCUUAACACAUGCAAGUCGAGCGGAAACGAAGGUAGCUUGCUACCAGGCGUCGAGCGGCGGACGGGUGAGUAAUGCUUAGGAAUCUACCGAGUAGUGGGGGAUAGCCAUUGGAAACGAUGAUUAAUACCGCAUAUAUCCUACGGGGGAAAGCAGGGGACCUUCGGGCCUUGCGCUAUUCGAUGAGCCUGAGUGAGAUUAGCUAGUUGGUGGGGUAAAGGCCUACCAAGGCGACGAUCUCUAGCUGGUCUGAGAGGAUGAUCAGCCACACUGGGACUGAGACACGGCCCAGACUCCUACGGGAGGCAGCAGUGGGGAAUAUUGCACAAUGGACGAAAGUCUGAUGCAGCCAUGCCGCGUGUGUGAAGAAGGCCUUCGGGUUGUGAAGCACUUUCAGCGAGGAGGAAAGGUCAGUAAGUAAUAUUUGCUGGCUGUGACGUUACUCGCAGAAGAAGCACCGGCUAAUUUAGUGCCAGCAGCCGCGGUAAUACUAAAGGUGCAAGCGUUAAUCGGAAUUACUGGGCGUAAAGCGCGCGUAGGUGGUUUGUUAAGUUGGAUGUGAAAGCCCAGGGCUCAACCUUGGAACUGCAUUCAAAACUGACUCACUAGAGUACGAGAGAGGUUAGUGGAAUUUCCUGUGUAGCGGUGAAAUGCGUAGAGAUGGGAAGGAACACCAGUGG
rnacentral:rRNA from 1 species